GCAGUCGAACGGUACUCUGAUUUCGAUUGGUGUACAGUGGCGAACGGCUUGAGUAAUGCAAGGGUAACCUGCCCCACAGUGGGGGAUAACUCCGAGAAAUCGGAGCUAAUACCGCAUACGAUCAUUCCGGUUCGCUGAAAUGAUGAAAGCCUUCAGGCGCUGAGGGAGGGGCUCUUGUCCUAUCAGGUAGUUGGUAGGGUAACGGCCUACCAAGCCUAAGACGGGUAGCUGGUCUGAGAGGAUGGUCAGCCAGACGGGGACUGAGAUACGGCCCCGACUCCUACGGGAGGCAGCAGCAAGGAAUAUUGCGCAAUGGGCGAAAGCCUGACGCAGCGACGCCGCGUGAGGGAAGAAGGCUCUCGGGUUGUAAACCUCUUUUAUUGGUGAAGAGUAAGGACGGUAACCAAUGAAUAAGCCUCGGCUAACUACGUGCCAGCAGCCGCGGUAAUACGUAGGAGGCGAGCGUUAUCCGGAAUCACUGGGCGUAAAGCGCGCGUAGGCGGCUUCCUAAGUUGGUAGUGAAAGGUCCUGGCUUAACUGGGACAUGCCUGCCAAUACUGGGGAGCUUGAGGGCGGCAGAGGAAGGUGGAACUCCCGGUGUAGCGGUGAAAUGUGUANAUAUUGGGAGGAACACCCGUGGCGAAGGCGGCCUUCUGGGCUGCCCCUGACGCUGAGGCGCGAAAGCGUGGGGAGUGAAGCGGAU
rnacentral:rRNA from 1 species